rnacentral:rRNA from 1 species
ACGAGAGGGAAACAGCCCAAACAAUGUGUUAAAGCCCCAAAGAGAUACAUAAGUGUAAUUAAGGAAGUGUACUACCUAAUACAGCCAUGAUGUGGGAUUGGAAGCGUCCAUCAUUUAAAGAAAGCGUAACAGCUCAGUGGUCUAGGUAGAAUGCGCCGAAGAUGUACCGGGACUAAUGUAUCCGCUAAUACCAUUGUCUAGUGUUUUACAUAUAUUGUACGGCACUAAGAGGUAGCAGAGCGUCCAGUGUUUAUGAAGAGCAGUAUUUUAUUGUUUGGAGACAACUGGAGUGAGGAUGCUGGCAUGAGUAACAUAAAUGAAUGUUGAAUCAUUCACACCGUAAGAGGAAGGUUUCUGAGGGCAAGUUAGACUGCCUCAGGUUACAGCGGUAUCUAAGGGGUUAGCCAACGCGAAACCUCGAUG